rnacentral:tRNA from 1 species
GGGCCGCUAGCUCAUCGUCGGAAGAGUGCCUGUGUCGCAAACAGGAGGCGCGGGGUUCGAGCCCCCGGUGGUCCA